AACAUGAAUCGUUCAGAUUCGUGGAAAUAGCACACCAGUAGUACAUAUCUGCCUACAACCACUUCAUGAUAUGGAUGCUUUACUACUAGUUACAUCGUUAUAGUUGAAGAUCUAAUAGUUGUGAAACAACAUUACAAUUUUCCUGACUACCGUGACUAGCUAGUGCAUCGGGGAAGAAGGGCUCCCGUGCUCUAUGAGUGUCGUGAUAGGUCCUUCCACAUCCCUAGAGUGAUCAUUCUGCUUCCUUACUACCUGAAAUGCAUGGAUAAUCAAAGCAAAUUCCCAACGCAUAUUAAUCCUAUGCCAUUGCAACGAUGGAAAAGCGGGCACUCGGAUUUAAAGCGCCAAGAUUUGAGAGAAGAUAAACUAUCGAGCUUGUGGGAAGGGAAAAGGGUCCAUAUAACAUGGUUCAGUUUUUCUCAGAAUGCAUAGUGGGAUGGAAAUAUAUUUGGCAUGAGCCGCCCACCCCAUCUCUUCACCCCACGCCCCCACUUGUCAUCACACACUUAGCUCACC
rnacentral:lncRNA from 1 species